rnacentral:lncRNA from 1 species
GGAAAUUCACUUUUAAAUUGUCAAAUUAAUCAACUUCAACAUUUCAACUGGACACCGAUUUAAUUAUUUUCUAAAAAUAAAAGUUUAGAGAUUCAGAAACUGCGUAGUAGAUACAUGAUGGUGGUGUCAUUUCAAAAUGAUACAAAAAGGCUAAGAAAACACAGAAAUAUAUUUAUUUGCUUAAUCAUAAACUGUUACGCCGCUACAUAAUUCGAGGACAAAGAAGAGACCAUAGUCUGUCAGAAAAGGAACUUGAUCUAUAAUUGAUAGCCCCCUUUAAAUUUUCAUUUCUAAAACUGCUAUUCCACCAAUUUCAUCCAAGCAAAAAGUCUAAAACACUUGAAACCAUGGCAAAGCAUGCCAUCAAACAAAUGAGAAGUGCAAUUAAGAGCCAAGUACAAGAUACUUUCUUGAUAUAUAGCAGCAGAUCAAGCAAGAACUUCACAAAAUCCUUGUGAGAGCUCCAAGAUGCCUUGAAACAAUCCUGCGUGCAGACAAGAAGCAUUAUCAAGCUAGUGUGUAGAAAGAUAUCUUUUUCUUUUUGGUUCACAACUGUAGAUAAUUUUUCAAAUUCCACUUUAUUUUGGUCUCUCAGAUAGAUAGUUGCGGUCCUCAUAACUUUUUGUCUAUUAGCUGCAAUUUUAUAAUGUCCUUCAUUAUUCCAGUUUCCACCACUGAACCUAAAUUUUUGACAUUGAACAACUUAUGCAGAUAAGCAAUCUAGUUUGCAAUGUGCCAAAUAGUCGUGUUACAAAAAAUUCUGCAAACAUAGCAUUAAAGGUGCAGAGGUUAUGCACACAUCAAAUCUUUAAGAAGCAGCGAGUAUACUAUUAUCCCUCCUGCCUUAUAUCACAAAAACUAUACCGAACUUAUAUAUUCUAUGUACAAGUUGUUACCAAAAAAAGAAAAAAUUCCCUACAGAUUGAUGGUUUCAGCUAUGAUAUAAGUUAUACAUAUCAGUAAUCCCAAAAUUAAGCUUCAGCUCGAUUAAUGAAAGAUGGAGAAGAUAGUUCAGUAAGAGAAUGGUCGUAGCUACAAAUAAAGAGAAUGAUCAUAGGUACAAACCAGAAAGCAGCCCCUUCACGAGGAAGUUUUAGCUCCUCGCACUUUGGACACCUUCGAAUAGUACAAAAAAUAAUUAGCAGAGAAAUUAAAGUACAGAAACACUUCAGUGAAAGUAACAAUAAAAGGCCAACUAUUGGCAGUAUAACUACAAAAGCAAAUGAAAGAUCACCCAUAGCAAUUGCCAACAGGUGUUGGAUGCAUUAAAUUUCCAACUCCAAGGAUGAUCAACAAAUGUCCCAAAAAGUAAGUUUAUGAUACCAUCACAAAUACAGUACGUCAAAAUGGAAUUCUAUAUGAUUUAUAAAAAUCAACAAAAAUUAUACAAGGCAACACAGCGAGGAAACGAAACAAGGAAUGAAAUAAGCUGACCAAAGCAUAAAAUGGAGACACCAGCAUCAUAAUUACUUUGUCCCACUUUUUUAUGCAACAAACAAGGAAUUUUCAGAAUAUCCAUCUCUCCAUUUCAUAUAAAAUACUCUAUUAUCUCCGGACAUCUUCAGAAUUUUCAGCCACUCAGCUUUAAAUAACAAUAGAUCAAUCACAAACACUUAAAAAAUAGAGAAGACAGAAUAUGCGUAAGAAAUUUAACAGAUAUGGUAAUUCAUUGAAGAAUUUUCUCAAACACCUAGAGAACAAAAGUCGUAACAGAAAUGGUAAUUCAUCGAAGAAUUUUCUCAAACACCUAGACAACAAAAUCCAUUGAUAUUCCUCAAGAGAAAUAUAGAUAGAGAUGAAUCAAAGAGAUGGUAGAAGAGAUACCCACCAGAAAAUAGGAUUGACAGAAAGAAACACAUUGAAGUGCAAACUUGACAACAAGACAUAAACGGAGAGAGCAAAUAUUCUGGAUUUUUCUUAGUCGGAGAUGGCGUUACUUCUC